rnacentral:rRNA from 1 species
AACGAACGCUGGCGGCAUGCCUAACACAUGCAAGUCGAACGAGACCUUCGGGUCUAGUGGCGCACGGGUGCGUAACGCGUGGGAACCUGCCCUUAGGUUCGGAAUAACUCCCCGACAGGGGUGCUAAUACCGGAUAAUGUCCUCGGACCAAAGAUUUAUCGCCUUUGGAUGGGCCCGCGUUGGAUUAGCUAGUUGGUAGGGUAAAAGCCUACCACGGCGACGAUCCAUAGCUGGUCUGAGAGGAUGAUCAGCCACACUGGGACUGAGACACGGCCCAGACUCCUACGGGAGGCAGCAGUGGGGAAUAUUGGAAAAUGGGCGAAAGCCUGAUCCGGCAAUGCCGCGUGAGUGAUGAAGGCCUUAGGGUUGUAAAGCUCUUUUACCCGGGAUGAUAAUGACAGUACCGGGAGAAUAAGCUCCGGCUAACUCCGUG